AGUGAACGCUGGCGGCAGGCCUAAUACAUGCAAGUCGAACGGCAGCACAGCAGAGCUUGCUCUGUGGGUGGCGAGUGGCGGACGGGUGAGGAAUACGUGGGAAUCUGCCCAGUCGUGGGGGAUAACGUAGGGAAACUUACGCUAAUACCGCAUGCGCCCUUCGGGGAAAGCCGGGGACCUUCGGGCCUGGCGCGAUUGGAUGAGCCCACGUCGGAUUAGCUAGUUGGCGGGGUAAAGGCCCACCAAGGCGACGAUCCGUAGCUGGUCUGAGAGGAUGAUCAGCCACACUGGAACUGAGACACGGUCCAGACUCCUACGGGAGGCAGCAGUAGGGAAUAUUGGACAAUGGGCGCAAGCCUGAUCCAGCCAUGCCGCGUGAGUGAAGAAGGCCCUCGGGUUGUAAAGCUCUUUUGUCCGGAAAGAAAAGCGCCGGGUUAAUACCCUGGUGUCCUGACGGUACCGGAAGAAUAAGCACCGGCUAACUUCGUGCCAGCAGCCGCGGUAAAGUA
rnacentral:rRNA from 1 species